CGGCUCUCGCUGGUCUGAAACCCCAGUCGCCUCCACCACCAGUAGAACCACCACUUUGAUCUUUUAAACCACCUCCAUCAAGAGCACCACCACCUCCUUGGCUCUAUCUAGUUUUGGUUGAGUUGAGGGGAGGAACUCAAGAAGGAGUCUGAAAGCUAUUAUCAUUCAGUUUGAGUUAAGGGAAGGAAGGAGUCUGAAUCUCUGAUUACAGGGUAAUGAUUGGAUCAAGUUCAGUUUCAUUAUCAAGCUGCAAGAUGGCAAGUGCAUCUCCCUCUCCAUCCCCUGCAGCUGGGUCUACUGAUGUGACACUGUCAAUAACACCUCAAGUUGAUGCUACAAAUCAAGAAACACAAGCUAUAGAGCAGGCUACACAGGACCCUGCACCUGAGGUUGUACCGAACAAGAAGGGGAAAACUAGAUCAAAAGUUUGGAAUGACUUUGUAAGGCUCAGUGAAGAACAAGCUCAGUGUAAGCAUUGUAAGAAGAAAUUGCAAGCACAUAGCAGAGGAAAUGGCACUUCCAGCAUGAAGACACAUUUAGGCACAUGCCCUCAGAAUCCCAACAAGAAGCAGAAGGGUCAGAAGAAUUUGAUGUUUCCACCUCCAAGAC